rnacentral:lncRNA from 1 species
AAUGACAUACCUAACAAAAUAAACCAAGAGCCCUAUACAUGUCAUUGAACAAAAUAAAAGUACCUAUAUACCAAAGCUGGACUAGUUGAUAGUAUGUUGACUCUCCAACUGUCUUCCAAUCUUUACGAGUCAUCGAGCUCUGUAAGACAGGAAAAAAAGAGGGGUAAGCAUUUACAUGCUCAGUAAGCUCGAAUAACUGGAAAGUGAACUUACCUAUUAGCAUACAACCAUAUUAAGCAAAUAAGCCAACAAGAAUGAAAUAGUUUCCCUAUCACAUGUAUUCAAUCAACAAGUUAGUCACAAUAAUAAUGCACCAUGUAAUUUGUCUUAGAUGAGCUCAUCAUUCAUUAUUUCAUUUAUAUACAUCAUAUUAAUCUCGUUGAGUUUCUAGGAAAUCUCGAUAGAUUAUCCAUUAUCCGUCAAGGCAUAAGAAUGAUCAUUUCAAGUAUGCACUCCCGCGAAUCUCACAUCUUACGGCGGGAUUACCAGUCCAAGCUAAAUCCCCCGCAUCGUAAACUCAUAAGGUGAAGUCGAGAUUACCAGUCCAGGCUAAAUUCCUUAUAGCGACAAACACCCUUAAUGAGUUCGGAUCUGAAUUACCAGUCCAGGCUAAAUUCAGACCCUAAUCGGAUUACCCGUUCAGGAAAAAUCCACAAUGCACACAUAUUCUUAGGGAGGCUCGAUCACUCAAAGAACACUCGUCUGGGUUAGAUCCUUUUUAUAUUUGAGAUCAAUGGAUUACCCGUCUGGGGUAAAUCCUUUCUGCAACACAUGCAGGAUCUCAAGUCUCAUGUAAGCCAUGGUUUAUCCAUCAGAUGUCAUUUUUCAACCUCAACCAGGACAUUUAUCAACAUGUCAUUAUUAAGGAUGUAUUUCAUAUAUUUUCAUGCCAUCAUCAAAUGCAAUAACCAUACAUUCAUAAAUCAUGCAAUUAAACAUACUAUGAGUUUACUUUAAGAUAUUUGAACUUACCUGGUACUCGUCUCGGUAUCGUGUUUCGGUUAUUCUGAAACUUUUCAUUUUCCUCGAUCGACCUCUGAAAUUUGUUCCUCGAGGUCUAUAAUAAUAAAAAUAAAUGAAUAACACCUCACAUUGUACUUUUUGAGUCUAAAUUUCACCCCGGCUCCAAAUGACCAUUUUGCCCCUAACCUUUCACAUUUUCACGAUUUAGUCCUUAGGCUCGUAUAAUGGAAUGCAUGCAAUUUCUACAUUACCCAAGCCUAGCCAAAUGUUCUUUCCUCUUAUAGAAGACCACAUUUUUCCAUUAUUUCACAUUUCCACCUCACAUUUUACACCUUUUGCAAAAAGGUCCUUUUCAGGGUUGUUUCAUGAAAAUCACCUAGGAAAAUAUAUUUAACACACAUCCAACUUCCAUAUUCCUCCAUAAAACAUCAAAAUACAAGUAAAUCAUGCAUGGGUAAAUUUCUAAACAUGAUCCCUAGCGUGAAAUAUGGGUAGAAAUAGAGAGAGUAAGCUACCCGGAUUUUAAAAAUACGAAGAACAUUAAAAACGGGGCUUGAAAGCACUUACUAUUGAGCUUGAAAAUGUUGAAAACCUAGAUAUGGUGACUUUAGAAUUUAAGCUGGAGAAGGAAGAAGAAUGGUUGAUUUUUGUCUUCUUUUUUUCCAUUUUAUUUCAUUAAAUUGCCAAAUGACCAAAAUGCCUUUAUUUAAAAUUUCAUCCAUACAAGCCCAUUUUUGUCCAAAAACUUAGAAAUUGGGAAAAUUGCUCCUCAAGACCUUCUAAUUAAUAUUCUAAAGUAAUUUUGUACAAAUUUCUUCUAAAACCCAAGUGUUGCAAUUUAUUCAAUUUGGUCCCUAAUGUCUAAUUGGACACCUUACUCAAAGAAUUCCUUCAUGAAACUUUAACACUUGCAUAUUAUCAUAUUCUAGACCUCAUUAUAAUCAUAAAAUAAAUAUUCUGAUGUUAGAUUUGCAGUCUCAAAACCAUUAUUCUAACUAAGCCUUAUUUCAGGAUGUUACAGUAAUGCUUCUUUAAAUGGGCUCGGGUGUGUACUGAUGCAAAGUGGGAAAGUGAUAUGCUUCCCUGAAAUUGAAACCACAUGAACGUAAUUAUCUGACAUAUGAUCUGGAAUUAGCAGUUGUGAUUUUUGUUUUGAAAAUAUGGAGACACUAUUUAUACGGUAAAAAAUGUUACAUUUAUACAUAUCAAAAAAGUCUCAAGUAUCUUCUAUCACAGAAAAAGUUGAAUUUGAGGUAGCAUCGAUGGAUAGAACUUCUAAAAGAUUAUGAUUGUGUUAUUGAUUAUCAUCCAAGUAAAGCUAAUGUGUUAGCUGAUGCAUUGAGUAGGAAGGCAGCAAAUGAAUUGCGAGCGAUGUUUGCACAGCUCAAUAUUAAUGAUGAUGAAGGUUUAUUGGCUGAGUUAAGAAUUAAACCAGUGAUGUUUGAAUGAAUUAAGUCGCUUAAUUAGAAGAUGAUAAGCUAAUAAAGAAAAAAGAAAUGGUUCAGAGUGACAUAGUAGAGAAUUUUAGUAUUGAUGAACAUGAUUGUUUGAGAUACCGAGAUUGGAUUUGUAUUCCAAUAAAUUUAGAGAUUAAAGAAUUAAUUCUCUGAGAAGUACAUGACGGUCCAUUUGCUCUACACCCUGGAGGCACAAAGAUGUACCGUGAUUUACAAGAAUUGUACUGGUGGCCAAGGAUGAAAAAAGAUAGAGUUGAAUAUGUCAGUAAAUGCUUGGUUUGUCAGCGGGUGAAAGCAAAGCAUCAGGUUCCAACUGGUUUACUUUAGCCUAUUAACAUUCCUAAAUGGAAAUGGGACUGCAUCACAAUGGAUUUUGUAACAGGGUUGCCAUUGUCAGCAAGUAAGAAAAAUACUAUUUGGGUGAUUGUUGAUCGGCUUACAAAGUCAGCUCAUUUUAUAACAGUCAGAACGGAUUGGUCACUUCAGAAACUUACUAAAGUUUAUAUUCGGGAGAUAGUAUGAUUACAUGGUAUUCUAGUGUCAAUAAUUUCUGAUCGAGAUCUAUAGUUUACAUCUAGAUUUUAGAGGCAACUGCAUGAAUCUCUUGGUACUCAACUUAAUUUUAGCACAGCAUUCCAUCCACAGACCGAUGGACAAUCAGAACGAGUUAUUCAAAUUUUAGAAGAUAUACUUCGAGCUUGUCUUAUUGAUUUUGAAUCAGGUUGGGAACGUUAUCUACUGUUAGCUGAAUUUGUAUAUAAUAAUAGUUUUCAAUCAAGUAUUCAAAUGGCACCAUAUGAAGCUUUAUAUGGUCGGAGAUGUCGGUCACCAGUGUAUUGGACAGAAUUGAAUGAGAAGAAAAUGAUUGGGCCAGAAUUAAUUCAAGAAACAGAAGACACUGUUAAGAAGAUUCAACAGAGAUUAAAAGCAGCUUUUGACAGACAAAAGUCUUAUGCUAAUCUAAAACGUAGGGACAUUGAAUACUCAGUCGGGGAUAAAGUGUUUCUCAAAGUUUCUCCUUGGAAGAAAGUAUUAAGAUUUGGCCGAAAAGGAAAGUUAAGUCCUCAGUUUAUCGGGCCAUAUGAAGUUAUAGAGAGAAUUGAACCAGUUGCUUACCGAUUGGCUUUACCUCUAGAAUUACAUAAAAUUCAUGAUGUUUUUCAUGUUUCCAUGUUACGAAGGUAUCGAUCGGAUCCAUCUCAUAUUAUCUCUACUGAAGACAUUGAGAUUAGACCAGAUUUGUCAUAUGAAGAGGAACCAGUUCAAAUACUAGCUCGAGAAGUGAAAGAAAUAAGAAACAAAUGGGUCCCUCUGGUAAAAGUACUGUGGAGAAGCCAUAGUGUGGAAGAAGCAACAUGGGAACCGGAGAAAACUAUGAGAUCAUAGUAUCCUCACUUAUUUUCAGGUAAAAUUUCGAGGACGAAUUUUUUUUUUAAAGCGGGAGAGAAAUGUAACGACCUAAAAUCCGUGGGCACUGGAAAAGUAUAUUAUCAGGCCUUCGACGUAGUGAACUGGGUUUAAAAAUAAUUAUUAGGAGUAAUAAUGAGUUUAGUGGUAUGUGUAAUUAAAAUUUGAUUAAGUGAAUUUAGUUUAAUUUAGAGUAAUUAGUAAAAAGGAUUAAAUUGAAUAGAGUAUAAAAGUUUAAUUAUAAAGUAGAGAAAAAACAAAGGACUAAAUUAAUAAAUAAACCAUAGGAGUGGCAAGUGUAAGGUAAUAAUUAAAUACAAGUGUGAUAAUGAAAAUGAAUACAAAUGUAAAUUAAUAAAUAAUUUACUUAAAUUAUAAGUAAAAUAUAUUAUUAUUAUUAUUAAUGUUAAAUAAAUUAGAAUAACACAUGUAUGGUGAUGGUUAUAAACAUGUGCAAUAAAAAUAUGGAAACAAAGGUAAAAUAUAAGUUGAUAUUUAAAAGAUAUUAAUUAAAAUAAUAAUUAAUAAAGGUUAAUAAAACAUAAAAGAAACAAAUUGAAAAAGGAAAGAAGAAAAAGUUACAGAGAACUCACAAAAUAGAAAGAAGAAAUCGGGGAAAGAAAAGAAGAAAGGAAAAAUAGGGAUUUUGGGAUUCCAAGUUAAUUGGUAAGUUAAUUUUAGUCUUUUUCUUUUAAUUUUAAUAUUUUUAGAAUCCUAGAGUGAAAUACUCUUGGAUUUGAGUUGAAAUUUUGAAAGUUAAUGAUUUUUUUAGUAGGGUUUAUGUUGAACAAAUGAUGGAAUUGGGGGUUUAUUUGAUAGAAAUUUUGAUUGGAACUAAUUAAAUGAUUAAAUUGUAAACUGUGUCAUAAGUUUUAUGUUAUAGGGACUAAAUUGAUAGAAAUUUGAAAUUAUGAAAAUAUGAUGAAAGCUUGAUAGUUAAAUGUAAGUUUGGUAGGGAAUUGAGUAACAAAAAGAUAUGAAUUGAAGAAGAAAAAUAUAUGAGUUUAGUUAGGAUUAAAUUAGAAUUAAUGUAAAAGUUAAAAUAAAAAUUUCAGCAUUUAAAUUGUGUUAUGCUAAUAAUUGUGGAAUUAUUUUAAUUUUUCGUAGCUAAUAUCGAGCCUGAAGCAUCGGCCCAAAAAGGAAAAUAAAAGAUCAUCGAGGAUUAAAUUCGAAGAAAAUUCUGGUUUGUAUUACUAUAACUCAAGCUUUAUAAUUAAUAUGUGUUUAAUUUAAUAUGUAUGUGUGGUAAGUAUUUUAAGAUAAGUAUUUAAUGAACUGAUAAAAUUUGUGAUUGGGUAUUAAAAUUGUGAUUGAUACUGAACUGAAUUAUGGGAUACUGAAUAUUAUUUUGAAUACCGAAUUGAACUGUGAAAUUACUGAAUAUUGUUACGUAUACUACAUUGAAUUGUAAAAUUUCUGAUGAAACGAAUUAUUGUAUUACUGUGAAAAAUUGAUCGAAAUAAUAAAUUAUAAUUAAUAUUGAAUCGAAAUGAUAAUUGUACUGAAAAAUGAUUUGAAUACCCUAUUAAUUAGUCGGACUAGUCGGAUAUAAUUGGCAUGCCAUAGGAUAUGGAAGAGUACGGGUUUUUGCCAGCUUACUGAUCAGGCACUUAUGUGCUGACUACUGCUACUAUUACCGUUAUUGUUACCGUUACCGAUUCAACACUUUGUAUGUUGAAUACUAUUACUGUUACUGUUACUGCUACCGUUAUUGAUUACAGUUUAGGUAUUGUGUACCGUUAAGGCACAAUGUGCCAUACUGGUGUGUUGGUUGGAAUCAGUGUAUCCGUCGAGUUCGAGUCAAGUUAAUAGGGACAAAUGAAAUAAAUUUACUGAUAAAACUAAAUUUGAAUGAUAUGGCAUAUGUGAAAGGUGAGAAUUGCACUAAAGAAAUAAGAAUGAUAUAUAUAUUCAAAUGAUAACAUAAAAAGAUUGAAUUGUUCAUUAAGUGAUGAUAAUUGUAAUGUAAAACUAUGUGUGUGAUUUAAUGUAUUUAAUUAUAAAUUGAAUUAUAGUGAUACCACUGAGUAUAUACAUACUCAGCGUACGGUUGUUUCCGUGCGCAGGUUGUAGAAGUCAAGUACUGAACUAGCAUCCAAAGCCAAACCCGACUUCAGCAAACUUUUGGUGAUGCAUAUUUUCUUUUGGUAAUUUGGCAUGUAUAUAGGAUGUGUAUAAAAUUUAUUAUGUUUUGAAUAUAAAUGGUUAAAAAUGUUAGUAUUACAAGUCUAAGAAUUAUAAUGAAAGAAGUUUAUCCAUUUCAAUUUAAUUAGUACAUUGAUAAAUUUAAAUUGAUAUUAUAUUGAUUGAGUUUGAUUAGAAGGUAUUUAGAAUAAAAAAUGAGUAUGUGAAAUGAGUUGGUUGAAAUGGUUAUGUUUGAAAUGGAUACAAUUUUAAUUGCAGGGGGUUUUAUAUAAAAAUAAGCAGAAAUGCUGUUGAAAUUUAUAAAUAAAUAAAAAAUUCUAGAGUAUUUGAAUGAGUCCCGUUUCACUUUUAAUACAUGUUUUAGACUUCGAGAGUUCAUUGUAAGGAAUUAGUUAUUAAAUUAUACUAUGAAUGUUAUUUUAAUUGUGAAUUAUUCGUAAGUUGUUUAAUAUAUCCGGUAAUGUCUCGUAAUUCUGUUCUAGCGACGGUUCGAGGUUAGAGGAUAUUACAUUAUCUAUGUCAAAAUGAGGUCUACAUGGUACAUACUUACAAAGUCUUGGGUUCGUGAGAUUAUGAAUUUGCAAGUUCUCAAGAUUUUUAACUUCUUUAAUGGAAACUCACAAGAUGAUACUUUUUAGUCUAGUAGCAAAAUCAACCAAAUGCUAAAUGAACUUGCGAGCCGUAGGUCUACCAAAUUUAUUUUUUAACUUCAAAUUUUCCACUUUCAAAUUUAAUUUGAUAGUUAUAAUUUCAAGCUUGACUUAAUUAAAAUUUUAUAGCUCGAACAAUGGCUUUGAGUUAACUUUGUCUGUUUUACUUGAAAUAUAUUAUAUUUAAAAAUAAAAAUUAUUACUCAUUUUUAAGGGAUAAUGAUAAAAUUUACUCUUGUACUUUAAUAAAGUCGGCUUCAAUUUGUGGAAUUUAAUACUUGUAUUUUUGUUCCGUCUAUCAAUAUAGUACCUGAUGUUAAAUUCUAACCUCACCUGACACGUGGCCCAAUUUCACUUGCCAUGUGCAUUGUAUGUCAGGAAAAAAGUUCAUCCAAUCAAAGCAGGGGACUUUGAAAUAAUUAUUCCCUUUCAUAUCUCAAUAAAAAUAAAAUUUAACAAUAAAACUGCUUUCUGAAAUUCCUCUAGCCUUCCUCCUCAAAAAAAUACCGAAAUCCCAAACCCCAACUUCUCUAAAACCAAUUUCAUAAAAAUUUCUCUCAAAACUUGUUACUUGCGGGGAACACUAAAUCCUUACACUCUUCUAUCAAUGUCUUCUUCAUGAGUGGAAUUCCACUUUUUUGGUUAGAUAUUUGUUCUUCAACUUAGCUUGAAUAAAUACCUAGUUUCCCCCUUAAUAAUUCCCAUCAAAAUCACCUUUUUUCAAUUUUUUUAUUUGACUUUAAGUAUUAUUAUGACAGCAUGUUGCUUUGAUUUCCCUUGAGUUCCAACAGCAUGUUGCGGGCGAGGAGAUUGCUGCAAAGUUAUAAAAUGAAGAGAAUGGAUGCAAAUAUCCUUCACAAGAACCAAGAAAGCUCUCUGGGCUCAAGAAUCGCAAGAAAUUGCAUACAGAUUUCGUCUUUUCAAGGAGCCACUGAUUU